UAAGGAAUAUUCCACAAUGGGGGAAACCCUGAUGGAGCAAUACCGCGUGCAGGAAGACGCUUUUCGGAGUGUAAACUGCUUUUAUUACCCAAGAUUAUGACGGUAGGUAAUGAAUAAGGACCGGCUAACUACGUGCCAGCAGCCGCGGUAAUACGUAGGGUCCAAGCGUUAUCCGGAAUCACUGGGCGUAAAGCGUACGUAGGCGGUUAUUCAAGUUGGGUGUGAAAUCCUAUGGCUCAACCAUAUGGACUGUGCCCAAAACUGAAUGACUAGAGCAUAGUAGAGGCAAGUGGAACUUGCGGUGUAGGAGUGACAUCCGUAGAUAUCGCAAAGAACACCAAUGGCGAAGGCAGCUUGCUGGGCUAUUGCUGACGCUCAGGUACGAAAGCGUGGGGAGCGAACGGG
rnacentral:rRNA from 1 species